GCCUGCAGGUUAGCUCAGUCGGUAGCGCAUGAGACUCUUAAUCUCAGGCCUGUGGGUUCGAGCCCCUCUUUGGGCC